rfam:Oryza meridionalis cultivar OR44 (W2112) chromosome 8, whole genome shotgun sequence.
AAUAAAUGUAGUUUCACUCUCCAACAUUUAACCAUCCGUUUUAUUUGAAAAACUUUCAUUAGUAGUAUUUUAUUGUGAUUAGAUGAUAAAACAUGAAUAGUAUUUUAUGUGUAACUAAUUUUCUUUUAAUUUUUUUUAUAAAUUUUUCAAAUAAGAUGGACGGUUAAACGUUGGACAUAGAUACCUACGACUAUACUUAUU